rnacentral:tRNA from 1 species
GGGGCAUUAGCUAAGUGGGAAAGCGACGGUCUGAAGAUCCGUUUAUCGCUGGUUCAAAUCCAGCAUGUCCCA